CAGGGCGAACCUGACAUUAGAAUUUUAUGACCUUGACUUACUGUGGUCACCUGGAUAAUAUUUAAAUCAACGUUAUGGUCUCUCACUUCUAUUAAAACUGCCAUAAUCUCCUUCUCUCAUCCGCAGUGUCUCUCCCUCCCUCUCAUUUGCACCACUAUGCCAGGGGAAGGACAAAGUUGAUGUCGCCAAGUGGGUCAUAGAGAAGCCGGAGGGGAACUGCUGGCCGUCCUGCUGCGGCCUCUCUCCGUUGUACACCUGGAAACAGGCGCUGGACGAGGCGGCUGUUUGCUCAGGCCGGCAGCUAUUGUCUCCAAGCCGGAUGUAAGUAGCAGACUCUGUUGUCUGCUUCCCCUUAUUGCUGUCAUCCUGAUAGAGGCAACAAAACGCCUCCUCUUUGACGUUGCCCGCUGGAAACGAGCAGGGUUGUAAACACUGGGCAACAGGUUGCUCGUCCCUGCUGGUUUUGGAGCCUGGGGUCCAUGUGGCCAGCUGUGUUGACAGGUAGGGCGCAUCCUGGAAGCCGCUGAGCUGCAGACCGCCCGGAGGAACAUCGUCUCUUUUGGAGAGUGAAGAUGGUCCAACCUUCCCAAUGUUUCUCAUCACUGAAUAUCCGUACUCUGCAGCUGUGUGGAUGUACAUUCCGGGGUUGCUGGAAUAACCCUCACCCCUGAAGGAAGAUGAUCCUCCCAUUAAGGAAUCCAUCAGGAAGUUCCCGGGCGCUAUGUUAUUCGGACAUGUCAUUUUUGCAUUUGGCAACACGGUAAUCGUUUGGUGUGUUCCACUGCUCUGAAGUACGGGAUUUACCAGGAGAAUAAGGACAGUAGGAUGCUGACAUCUUUUGGAGGGGGGUGCAAAAUAUCAGUAACAUAAUUAUGGAUGUUAGGAGACAUGUCAUGUGAUUUUUAGACCAAUAGCUGCGUGGAAGUGGCCUUGAUGCUUCAGACUGACGUGACGUCAGCGCGGUCAAGUUGGGAAACCUGGAGGGUUUUUGAUGGAGCAAGAGCGCCACCUAGCGACCGUUUGCUGGUCAGGACAGCAGGGCCACACCAGUGGGAACAAAGGACGGCUGCUGCAGCAAUGAAUUUAUUUGUAAGGCUCUUACUACGUGGCUUUUGAGUAUUUUAAUUCUGUUUAAUCUGGAACUUCUGAUGUUUGAAAGGAAAUCCAUGUAGUCAACAUGUGAUUUCCUUUUCACCCUGGUGCCAGGGCAAUGGAGAUGAAGCCAUCGCGGAUUUGUCACAAGAAAGAGUGCAUUUUGUGUCAGUUCUUUUUGUUGUUUUCAUCUAUUUGCUUUGUUGUUGCCACCGAUUUAGCAAGGUAAGCUGUCCGGUGUGUUAUUAAAAAGAAAACUAGAACAGAAAUGUGGAAUUCUUUGUGAAUUUUAAACCAAAAAACAACAACUAGGUUUUAACCCUUGACGUUGUGAAGUAGCCUAAAAAUGACAUGUUGGUUUUUGCAUUUUACCUGCUAAAUUUAAGAUUGUGAUAUGAUAGCCUAUAUGAAAUGUAUUUUACUGGCAUCCUUUUGUAGAUAGACAGUACAUUCAAUGCAUUAAACACCACGGCCUUGUCUUUUAUUUCUUUUAUUGAUUGAGGGCCAAAUAUUUUUCUUCCUAAGACUUUACGACAACAGAAUUACACUAGACUUUGUUUUUAAAAAAGCAAACACAUUAGAUGUUAUUUGACCAAUUAGUAAACUUUCACUAGAUUGGGAUAACUGAAGCCGCACUUGGCUCUUUACCUGGUUAUUUUCUUGAAAUGGGCUACAAAUUAUUAAGUAAACAGUGGAAUUUGUACGCUAGUGGACGGUGGACCUAUAACGAUAUUAAUUAUUGUGGUGUAAAAGGAAAGUCAUCAGUAUUAUUUUCAGGAUGUUCCUUGAUCUGUUACAUAAUGAAAAGCAUGUGUUUUCAAUAUGUAACAGAUCUGAAAUUAACAAUCUUACUGGCGUUUUUGUUUUUAUUCGCAGACUAGUUGCGGGCCAGAAGAGCUGGUUUGUGAAUUGUGGCUCUCGUUUAGCUUCGCUUUUUCAAGUAUUUAUGCACAGAUACUUUUUAAAAACAAUUCUCCUUCUCUCAUCAGCUCUAAUCAGAUGCUAUCAACAUUACCAUAAGAGUUUAAUUUUGUCACAGUCAGGUGAAAACAUUCAGGGCUAUGUAGAAUACCACUGCGAAACACGAAUACAGUGAAUAUGAAAAAUAAGCAGGUUACACUCCUCUUAGUCACUGAAACUGAUUUCGAAUACACGUAUUUUAAAACAUCUAAAUAAAUAAAAAACAUGAAUAUAGGCCACUAAUGUUAUUGUGAUAGCCUCAUAACGACUGGAUAGAGAGAAAAUGUUGUUGGAUAAAGCCCACAGUAAAUAGUUAAUCUGUGAUUUUUUGUUACUUUAAUGAAUUAGUUUUUAACACACAUAAUACUUUUUUGUCACUCCGUAUCUCCGUAUAUCAUCACCCUGAACAGAUUCAAAUAAGCAUUAUAGUCUGAACUGUUCUUGUCAGUUGUACUUUCAACAGUUUCAGUCCUAUUCUGCGCGCGUGUGUCUUAAAUUUGUAAUAAAUCUGCAUUCUUUUUUUAUUUAUUUUUUUAGCCUUGUUAAAUGACACUUUCUGUUACUGGGAGACAAUAAAGUUAUCUUGUGUUCAGUUACA